rnacentral:snRNA from 1 species
AAAGUCUGGCUCUCCUACAGUUGACCGCGUAAAUCUUUCGCCUUUUACUAAAGAUUUCCGUGUAGGAGAGCAUUGAAGAUAUUCCAUGAAUUUUUGGAAGUCCCUUAGGGGACA